CACGCCCAUCGUGCAGGCCGGCACGCUGCCGCUGUUCCUGGUGGCGGGUUCGGCCUCCGGGUUCAAGAGCCUCAAGGACGUGC
rnacentral:tRNA from 1 species